rnacentral:lncRNA from 1 species
CGUACUAGGCCACUACGCCGUAGUCCCCAGACGAUACAGGGGAAUCCAAUCCAUUGGACCUAUCUGUCCUCAGUUACCAUGUACCUAUAGUCCCUCAUCCAUCUAAUAUCCCAGAGACCGUAUAUCGAGCAUGGUGCUGUCAGACCCAUACAGUUUCUACUCGAGUCUCGCUCUAAUCGGAUUCUCCCGGAGAACUCUUUCUCUCUCAACCCGAAUGACCCUGGCCAGGGAUUUGUCUGAGCAAGAACACAUAGGAUAUUCCUCUCAUGAU